GAAGAAGUUUGAUCCUGGCUCAGAGUGAACGCUGGCGGUAGGCCUAACACAUGCAAGUCGAACGGCAGCACAGGAGAGCUUGCUCUCUGGGUGGCGAGUGGCGGACGGGUGAGGAAUACAUCGGAAUCUACUUUUUCGUGGGGGAUAACGUAGGGAAACUUACGCUAAUACCGCAUACGACCUACGGGUGAAAGCAGGGGACCUUCGGGCCUUGCGCGAUUGAAUGAGCCGAUGUCGGAUUAGCUAGUUGGCGGGGUAAAGGCCCACCAAGGCGACGAUCCGUAGCUGGUCUGAGAGGAUGAUCAGCCACACUGGAACUGAGACACGGUCCAGACUCCUACGGGAGGCAGCAGUGGGGAAUAUUGGACAAUGGGCGCAAGCCUGAUCCAGCCAUACCGCGUGGGUGAAGAAGGCCUUCGGGUUGUAAAGCCCUUUUGUUGGGAAAGAAAUCCAGCGGCUAAUACCCGGUUGGGAUGACGGUACCCAAAGA
rnacentral:rRNA from 1 species